CUGGGCUCGAAAUGUACAGGAAUCCGGUAGAAAUAUCGGCGCUCAGCAAUGAGCCUGUAUAUAGGUGCUGCAUGGCUGUCGUCAGCUCGUGUCGUGAGAUGUUGGGUUAAGUCCCGCAACGAGCGCAACCCUUACCUCCAGUUGCCACCAUUCAGUUGGGCACUCUGGCGGAACCGCCUCGGAUAACGGGGAGGAAGGUGGGGAUGACGUCAAGUCCUCAUGGCCUUUAUGUCCAGGGCUACACACGUGCUACAAUGGCCGGUACAAACCGUCGCAAACCCGUGAGGGGGAGCUAAUCGGAAAAAGCCGGCCUCAGUUCGGAUCGCAGUCUGCAACUCGACUGCGUGAAGCUGGAAUCGCUAGUAAUCGCGGAUCAGAAUGCCGCGGUGAAUA
rnacentral:rRNA from 1 species